UGGCGGCAGGCCUAACACAUGCAAGUCGAGCGGAAACGACUUANCUGAACCUUCGGGGAACGNUAACGGCGUCGAGCGGCGGACGGGUGAGUAAUGCCUAGGAAAUUGCCUUGAUGUGGGGGAUAACCAUUGGAAACGAUGGCUAAUACCGCAUAAUGCCUACGGGCCAAAGAGGGGGACCUUCGGGCCUCUCGCGUCAAGAUAUGCCUAGGUGGGAUUAGCUAGUUGGUGAGGUAAUKGCUCACCAAGGCGACGAUYCCUAGCYKGUCUGAGAGGAUGAUCAGCCACACUGGAACUGAGACACGGUCCAGACUCCUACGGGAGGCAGCAGUGGGGAAUAUUGCACAAUGGGCGAAAGCCUGAUGCAGCCAUGCCGCGUGUAUGAAGAAGGCCUUCGGGUUGUAAAGUACUUUCAGUUGUGAGGAAGGGGGUGUCGUUAAUAGCGGCAUUUCUUGACGUUAGCAACAGAAGAAGCACCGGCUAACUCCGUGCCAGCAGCCGCGGUAAUACGGAGGGUGCGAGCGUUAAUCGGAAUUACUGGGCGUAAAGCGCAUGCAGGUGGNUCAUUAAGUCANAUGUGAAAGCCCGGGGCUCAACCUCGGAACUGCAUUUGAAACUGGUGAACUAGAAUACUUGUAAAAGGGGGUAGAAUUUCAA
rnacentral:rRNA from 1 species